rnacentral:rRNA from 1 species
UAGGGAAUAUUGGACAAUGGGCGCAAGCCUGAUCCAGCCAUGCCGCGUGAGUGAAGAAGGCCCUCGGGUUGUAAAGCUCUUUUGUCCGGAAAGAAAAGCAUCGGGCUAAUACCCUGGUGUUCUGACGGUACCGGAAGAAUAAGCACCGGCUAACUUCGUGCCAGCAGCCGCGGUAAUACGAAGGGUGCAAGCGUUACUCGGAAUUACUGGGCGUAAAGCGUGCGUAGGUGGUUUGUUAAGUCUGAUGUGAAAGCCCUGGGCUCAACCUGGGAAUGGCAUUGGAAACUGGCGGACUCGAGUGCGGUAGAGGGGUGUGGAAUUCCCGGUGUAGCAUGAAUGCAGUAGAGAUCGGGAGGAACACCAGUGGCGAAGGCGACACCCUGGACCAGCACUGACACUGAGGCACGAAAGCGUGGGGAGCAAACAGGAUUAGAUACCCUGGUAGUCCACGCCCUAAAGCGAUGCGAACUGGAUGUUGGUGCACGUUGGCACUCAGUAUCGAAGCUAACGCGUUAAGUUCGCCGCCU